CCUACGGGAGGCAGCAGUGAGGAAUAUUGGUCAAUGGGAGAGAUCCUGAACCAGCCAAGCCGCGUGAGGGAAGACGGCCCUAUGGGUUGUAAACUUCUUUUGUCGGAGAACAAAACCCGGGAUGUGUCCCGGACUGCGCGUAUCCGAAGAAAAAGCAUCGGCAAACUCCGUGCCAGCAGCGGCGGAAAUAGGGGGGAUUCAAGGGUUAUCCGGAUUUAUUGGGUUAAAAGGGUGCGUAGGCGGUCCGUUAAGUCAGCGGUAAAAUUGCGGGGCUUAACCCCGUCGAGCCGUUGAAACUGGCAGACUUGAGUUGGCGAGAGGUACGCGGAAUGCGCGGUGUAGCGGUGAAAUGCGUAGAUAUCGCGCAGAACUCCGAUUGCGAAGGCAGCGUACCGGCGCCAGACUGACGCUGAGGCACGAAAGCGUGGGGAUCGAACAGGAUUAGAUACCCCUGUAGUC
rnacentral:rRNA from 1 species